UACGUAGGGUGCAAGCGUUGUCCAGAAUUAUUGGGCGUAAAGAGCUCGUAGGCGGUUUGUCGCGUCUGCUGUGAAAACCCGAGGCUCAACCUCGGGCCUGCAGUGGGUACGGGCAGACUAGAGUGCGGUAGGGGAGAUUGGAAUUCCUGGUGUAGCGGUGGAAUGCGCAGAUAUCAGGAGGAACACCAAUGGCGAAGGCAGAUCUCUGGGCCGUAACUGACGCUGAGGAGCGAAAGCAUGGGGAGCGAACAGG
rnacentral:rRNA from 1 species